UCUGGUGGCGAUGGCGAGAAGGUCACACCCGUUCCCAUACCGAACACGGAAGUUAAGCUUCUCAGCGCCGAUGGUAGUUGGGGGUCUCCCCCUGUGAGAGUAGGACGCCGCCGGGC
rnacentral:rRNA from 1 species